AUGGCACUGCCGGUGAGCUCGGCCGGCCUCGUCUCGCUCCUCGUCCCCUGCCUCCUCUCCUUCGUCCUCCUCCGCUUCUCCGCCCUGCUGGACCCCGGCGCCGCCGUGCCCCGCGUCAAGAGGUCCCCUCCCCUGCCCCUGCGCUUCCGCCAUGACGGCGCCUUCAAGAUCCUCCAGGUGGCGGACAUGCACUUCGGCAACGGCGCCGCCACGCGCUGCCGGGACGUGGCGCCGGAGGUCGGCGGCGCGCGCUGCUCCGACCGCAACACCACGCGCUUCCUGCGCCGGCUCAUCGAAGCGGAGAGGCCCGACCUCAUAGCCUUCACCGGGGAUAACAUAUUUGGGGGCAGUGCAACUGAUGCAGCAGAAUCACUGCUCAGAGCAAUUAGCCCUGCUAUAGAGUACAAGGUACCAUGGGCCGCCAUAUUAGGAAAUCAUGACCAGGAAUCUACAAUGACGCGAGAGGAACUGAUGAUGUUCUUGUCUUUGAUGGAUUACUCAGUAUCUCAAGUAAACCCUCCUGGUUUUCUGGUACAUGGGUUUGGCAAUUACCAUGUUGGCAUACAUGGGCCAUUUGGAUCGGGGUUGGUCAAUACUAGUCUGCUUAACCUUUACUUCCUGGAUAGUGGGGAUCGUGAAGUGGUCGACGGAAUUAAAACUUAUGGAUGGAUCAAAGAAUCUCAACUUGCUUGGCUCAGUGCUACUUCAAGAGAACUCCAGAAAAAUUCGCUUGCCCCCGCGUUAUCAUUCUUCCACAUCCCAAAUCCAGAAGUCCGAGAGCUGUGGUACACAGAUUUUAAGGGUGAGUAUCAGGAAGGAGUGGCUUGCUCAUUAAUUAACUCUGGUGUCCUUGACACCCUCGUCUCCAUGGGAGAUGUGAAAGGUGUCUUUCUUGGUCAUGAUCAUCUUAAUGAUUUCUGUGGCAACCUUAACGGCAUAUGGUUCUGUUAUGGCGGUGGCUUUGGUUACCAUGCCUAUGGAAGGCCUCAUUGGCCGAGGAGAGCUCGGGUAAUUUACACUCAACUCAAGAAAGGGCAGAGGUCAUGGAUGGGAGUCGAGUCGAUACAGACUUGGAAGUUGCUUGACGACGAGAACCUUUCCAAGAUCGAUGAGCAGGUUCUCUGGAGAGACAGUGACAAUGACUCUUACCAGAGUGUCCACUUGUAA
rnacentral:rRNA from 1 species